AUUUAUUUAGUAUAAAAAGUACAUUUGAUUUCCAAUCAAAAAGUCUUCAAUCUCUAGAAUAAAUA
rnacentral:tRNA from 1 species